rnacentral:rRNA from 1 species
AUUGAACGCUGGCGGCAGGCUUAACACAUGCAAGUUGAGCGGGGUGAUGGUGCUUGCACUAUCACUUAGCGGCGGACGGGUGAGUAAUGCUUAGGAAUCUGCCUAUUAGUGGGGGACAACAUCUCGAAAGGGAUGCUAAUACCGCAUACGUCCUACGGGAGAAAGCAGGGGAUCACUUGUGACCUUGCGCUAAUAGAUGAGCCUAAGUCGGAUUAGCUAGUUGGUGGGGUAAAGGCCUACCAAGGCGACGAUCUGUAGCGGGUCUGAGAGGAUGAUCCGCCAAACUGGGACUGAGACACGGCCCAGACUCCUACGGGAGGCAGCAGUGGGCAAUAUUGGACAAUGGGGGGAACCCUGAUCCAGCCAUGCCGCGUGUGUGAAGAAGGCCUUAUGGUUGUAAAGCACUUUAAGCGAGGAGGAGGCUCUUUUGGUUAAUACCCAAGAUGAGUGGACGUUACUCGCAGAAUAAGCACCGGCUAACUCUGUGCCAGCCGCCGCAGUAA